rnacentral:lncRNA from 1 species
AAUUUUGUUUCCAACUCUUUGUUCCCUCGUUUCACAACCAACAAAGGCAGUCCUCUUUCCUCUUUGUGCCACUGUCGAUCUACCAUCUCAGUGCUGAUUUAUAGAAAGGUGAUUGUGAUCUACCCUCAAUUUCUUAAUUCCACAAAAAAAAUUGCAAAAGAGGGCAAAGCCCAAUCUAAUUCUUCAGUCGCAAUCUGUAGUUAAGAUUCUGAAUGAAAAUUUUGCAAUCUUCCUUCUUUCUUUCUUUCUUUCUUUUUUUUUUCUUUCUCACCCUCUCAUGUUCUGAAUGAAAAUUUUGUAUUAGAAAUUUGGGCUAGGGUUUGGUUUUAGAGGAGGUGGAGGAAUAAGAAUAAGGUUACAGAGGCGGCGGCAGCAAUGGAGAUUAGCACAUCAAAUAAGAGGUAAGUUAUAUUUACUUGUCAAAAUUCAUAAAAUUUAAGUAAGUAAUGGAUGAUUAAUGUGUAAAUUGGUUGUGGGAGGGUGAUUGUGAUGGGGAAUCAUGAAGGAUUUCGGAGUAUAAGGUGGAUUAUGUAUGGAGAUGGUGUGUUUAGAUUCUUGAAUUUCAUGAAAUUAAGGUUUCAAAGCAUACACACCAUGUAUUUGUUAAAAUGCCUAAGUGAAGAUAUGCAUUCGGUGAUAUAAGUUUGAGACACCCGAGCACUAUAAAGACCCUACACAAAAGUUUCUUGGCAAGGGCGAUGGGUUUUUGGCUGAUUAUUGCCCUGAUCAAAAGAAAGCAAAUGACACUAGUGAUUAUUUGUGGUUCAUGACUAGGUAUGAAUGAUAAACUAUUUUUUCUUUGUAAUUGUUAGGUCUUAUAAUUAAUAUAUAGUUAAUUUUUUUUUGAAAUAUUUUAUAACCAGUAUUCAAGAUCUGGGGUGGUGAUAUUACUCUACAUGUUCAUAUUGAUGGACCUGUACUUCAUUUAUUUGUUAAUGGGAAGCACAUUGGUAUGCUAAAAAUUUAUUUCUAUUUUUCUUAAAUUAUUGGUUGCGACAACAAUGAAAUGAAUAUACUCGCAGGAACUAAUUGGGGGUAAAAAUGGGAAAUAUGAGUUCGUAUUUGAGCAUCUUGUAAACUUGAAGCCUAGGAAGAAGAAUUUAAUAUCAUUACUCAGCGUCGGUGUUGGGUUGCAAGUAGGAAUUACAAGUUUAUUAUUUAGUAGUAUGAUUUAAUUUCAAUUUUUGCACUAGUAUUAUUAUUAUUUAAUGUUAAUGUUAUUUUGACUAGAACUACGGAACAUAUUUUGACGAAGCAAGGAAUGGAAUUCAUGGUCCUGUUAGAGUACUUUCCCCUUACAGAGAAAUAGUUGACCAAGAGAAUGGCCGCCAUCUGGAGACACCUGAUGGUAAAGUUUCUUAUGCAGAGGAUUAUUUCUUGGAGAA